rnacentral:lncRNA from 1 species
UGUAUGUAUAUAUAUUUUGUUUUAUAUGCCUCUCCAAUGUAUCUAACAAUGUACUGAUCUGGUACUAUACAUAGUGAUCUAGCUUUCACUUGCAAAAAGGUUUGAUGGUAAAUACUAUUAUUACACUUACUGACUCACAUCGAUCGGUGCACAUGGUAUCAAUAAACCGACCGUCGCCAACCUUUUCCAGAAACUACCAAAAGCCAAUAGAAAUCAAUUACGAUAAGAAUAACAAAUAAUCAAACAUUUUCCACUGGAAUAAAUAAAUAUAAAUAAAAUAAUGGGAUGAUCCUUAUCCGAAACCGCACGUUAAAGCAAUAUAAAUAGCUUACGUGUUGAAUGUAUGUUUUGUCAUAAAGAUUGGAAGAUAACCAAUAGAGAGAUUGAUUCAAUGGCUGACAUAGCACUACUAGUGGUGGAGGAAUACGAGCGGAGGCUGAAGCUAACGUCGGAGAAAGCAUCAAACUCGGCGGAGAUCGGAGGGUGGAAUGAUUUUCCGGCGAGGGUGAAGAUGUUUGGGAGUGAUCAGGAAAAGAGGAUGGAGAGUUUGAAGAGGAAACUUGAAGCCAAAUCUCAGUUUGCUCUUGCCGUCUCUAACGGCUUCUUUUCUGCUUAACUAUAUAUAUGCUGUUCUUUUUCUUCUUCUACAAAUUUGUUUGACGAUAUGUGUAAUCGAUCUGUAAAUUUAUACUUUUGUAAGAUAUACGACUGAUGCAUUCGAGGGAAAAUAAGUCGAUAACUCUAAAACUGAGAAACAUGUGACGAAUAAUAUUCUUGGGUAUCAAGAGGACAAACGGGG